AUCUGCCCUGCACUCUGGGACAAGCCCUGGAAACGGGGUCUAAUACCGGAUACUGACCCGCUUGGGCAUCCAAGCGGUUCGAAAGCUCCGGCGGUGCAGGAUGAGCCCGCGGCCUAUCAGCUUGUUGGUGAGGUAAUGGCUCACCAAGGCGACGACGGGUAGCCGGCCUGAGAGGGCGACCGGCCACACUGGGACUGAGACACGGCCCAGACUCCUACGGGAGGCAGCAGUGGGGAAUAUUGCACAAUGGGCGAAAGCCUGAUGCAGCGACGCCGCGUGAGGGAUGACGGCCUUCGGGUUGUAAACCUCUUUCAGCAGGGAAGAAGCGAAAGUGACGGUACCUGCAGAAGAAGCGCCGGCUAACUACGUGCCAGCAGCCGCGGUAAUACGUAGGGCGCGAGCGUUGUCCGGAAUUAUUGGGCGUAAAGAGCUCGUAGGCGGCUUGUCACGUCGGUUGUGAAAGCCCGGGGCUUAACCCCGGGUCUGCAGUCGAUACGGGCAGGCUAGAGUUCGGUAGGGGAGAUCGGAAUUCCUGGUGUAGCGGUGAAAUGCGCAGAUAUCAGGAGGAACACCGGUGGCGAAGGCGGAUCUCUGGGCCGAUACUGACGCUGAGGAGCGAAAGCGUGGGGAGCGAACAGGAUUAGAUACCCUGGUAGUCCACGCCGUAAACGGUGGGCACUAGGUGUGGGCGACAUUUCCACGUCGUCCGUGCCGCAGCUAACGCA
rnacentral:rRNA from 1 species